GAUGAACGCUGGCGGCGUGCUUAACACAUGCAAGUCGAACGGGAAUUAUAUGAUGGAAACUGCGGUCGAUUUAAUUUAAUGAUAGUGGCGGAAGGGUGAGUAACGCGUGGGUAAGCUGGCUUAUACAGGGGGAUAAGAGUCAGAAAUGGGUGCUAAUACGGCAUAAGAGCACAGAGGAGCAUGGGUCAGUGUGGAAAACUCCGGUGGUAUAAGAUGGACCCGCGUUGGAUUGGAUGGUUGGUGGGGUAACGGCCCACCAAGGCGACGAUCCAUAGCCGGCCUGAGAGGGUGAACGGCCACAUUGGGACUGAGACACGGCCCAGACUCCUACGGGAGGCAGCAGUGGGGAAUAUUGCACAAUGGGGGAAACCCUGAUGCAGCGCCGCCGCGUGAAGGAAGAAGUAUCUCGGUAUGUAAACUGCUAUCAGCAGGGAAGAUAGUGACGGUACCUGACUAAGAAGCCCCGGCUAACUACGUG
rnacentral:rRNA from 1 species